rnacentral:rRNA from 1 species
ACUCAAAUGAAUUGACGGGGGCCCGCACAAGCAGCGGAGCGUGUGGUUUAAUUCGAUGUUACACGAAGAACCUUACCAGGGUUUGACAUGUAGGUGGUAGUGAAGCGAAAGCGGAACGACUCUUCGGAGAGCCUGCACAGGUGCUGCAUGGCUGUCGUCAGCUCGUGUCGUGAGAUGUUCGGUUAAGUCCGCUAACGAGCGCAACCCCUGCUGUGUGUUACAAGUGUCACACGGGACUGCCGGUCUUAAGCCGGAGGAAGGUGGGGAUGACGUCAAGUCAGCAUGGCCUUUAUAUCCUGGGCUACACACACGCUACAAUGGGUGGUACAACAGGUUGCGAAACCGCGAGGUGGAGCCAAUCCUUAAAGCCAUCCUCAGUUCAGAUUGUAGGCUGCAACUCGCCUGCAUGAAGAUGGAGUUGCUAGUAACCGCAGGUCAGCUAUACUGCGGUGAAUACGUUCCCGGGCCUUGUACACACCGCCCGU